CAUAGAAAGUGCAUUGGGUCAUCUAUAACAGUAUGAACAUUCUCACUGUGUUGAUCAUGUCCUGCAGUACAGGUGAGCGCAGCAGACCAGAGGCUGCGAGUGUUUGACUCCACCCAGCGGAGGUGGAAACACGUCUGCUCAUCCAGCGCCAACCAGCUCAUCGCCAACAUCAGCUGUGAAGAGAUGGGCUUCAUCAGAGCAGUGAAUUUCUCAGUGACAUGUGCUCCUGAUAAUGGUGGUGACCGAGAUUUUUUCUGCGUAAAAGAGAGUGAGUUAACUUAUGGGAAGAAGAUAAAAACAGCCCUUUAUCCUUGUAAAUGUGACAAAGGUCAGAUACUUGAGGUGAUUUGUCAGG